rnacentral:rRNA from 1 species
UACGUAGGGGGCGAGCGUUGUCCGGAGUUACUGGGCGUAAAGGGCAUGCAGGCGGUCCGAACACGGUUUUUGUGUGACAGCGGGUGGCUUAACUACCCGAGGAUACGAAAGACGGUUGGACUUGAGGACUCGAGAGGGACACGGAAUUCCGGGUGGAGUGGUGAAAUGCGUAGAGAUCCGGAGGAACACCGAAGGCGAAGGCAGUGUCCUGGCGAGUGACUGACGCUGAGGUGCGAAAGCCAGGGGAGCGAACGGG